CCAGCACAUCCCGAUCUAACUUCCAGUACCCCCUACCAAAGAGGCAGACUGGCGACCCCACCUGCAGGAGCACCCCGUCGUGAUCUGAAAAGAAAACAGGCAACAGCCGCCCAGACAACUUACCCAAAGACCUGGGUACAAAAAUAUAGUCGAGCCUCCGCUCAACCCCCCUGGAGUUGCGCCAUGUAGGACCGGCCAUUUUCGGAGUAGUGUGCAGACCACCAUCAACCAGACCAUGGCAAGCCAUUAGCCCGGUAAUGGCGCCUGCACUGCUAUCCCCCCCUAUUCCUAAAUCUGUAUUAAAAUCCCCCUAUCACUAAUUUCCUAUUUGUGACACACAGGGGCGUCAGACAGUCCACCAUCUCCCUCCUGUCUGCCACCACCUGUGGCCCAUACACCACCACUAAUCUAAAUUUACAAUCCCUUAUCGUGACAUCCACCCCUAUAACCCUCCCCUGCAUUACCACAAAAGAAUCCUCCACUUUUACCUCCCUGUGCCCACACAAAAUCCCUACCCCGAUGAGUGCACCCCCAAUACCCCAAACCGACUCCCCCUUGUCCCACUCCCUCUUAAACCUACUAACAUCCCCUCCAUCCCUCAGGUGAACCUCCUGUAAAAAACAAAAAUCAAAACCCACAACCUCCAAAUAACUAAAAACCGCCCUCCUCUUAACAAAAUCCCUUAAACCCCUUACAUUUAAACUAACAAAAGUAAAAUUAGACCCCAUGAAAUAAUAAAAUAAAAACAUGUAAUACACUCAAAUUCUAAACCCAGACAGAAAAAAAAAAAACAGGAGACUCACCCGAUGCUCCCCUGCUCCAUAUCUACCGGUGAGAACACCAUCCGACAUCCCCCCCUCUUCCUCCAUCUCACCAACCCAGGAUGCAGGAAUAGUGUUUGGCUUCGGGGUGCCCUGCACCCUGGGUCUACCCCCACACUCCUCCCCUCCCCAGUGCUGCAGCUGGUUUGGAAAAAAAAAAAAAAAAAAAAAAAAAAAAAAUCGGGGAGGCUGGGGGCCUGGGGAAACCAGCAGCAACCCAGAGGUUUCUCCCACCCCUAUCACUCUCUUGGCCAUCCCCUCCCUCUCACUGUCGGCCAAUCGCACCCUCCUCUUCAUUCUCUUCUUUGGUGAUGGCGGCAGUGGAGAGAUACCACCCUCCCCCCCCGCCAGCUCCUCCACCAUACCCCUCAUCUCUUCCACCAGGGCACUUUCCCCCCAGUCGACUUGCUCUUCCACCGUCUCCUUCUCCAACACUCCUCCCUCGCUUUCUUCUCUCUCAUGCUCCUCCACUCGGCUGCCUUCUUCCACCGCUUUUCCUGGUUCUCCUACUCCCGUGCCUUCUGUUUCCUUCUCUUUUCCAUCCGCCGCUUCUUGCUCCUCCUCCUUCCUAGCGGCCUUCCCCUCUGGACCUGUACUCUGGUCAUGAGGCGUGCUUCCUUCCCCUCCUCUUCUUCCCCCAUCCCCCGCUCCUGCUCCCCCCCAGCCGCAGACGCAUAUGACCUCUGACGAGCCGGGCACCCCCGCCACAGGUGUGCUGACGAGCCACACCCGUGGCACGCCUUAGGCUUGUCACAAUCCCUCGCCUCGUGUUCCUCAGAUCCACAAAAUCGGCAUUUUCUUGUGCUGCACGAGGCGAAUAUGUGGCCAUACAGC
ensembl:lncRNA